GAUAGUCCCCAAACUUUAUAACCAAAAUCCUACUUUAGCUUCUGGAAGCCGGUUGCGGUUCUAGUUCUUAUGCUCAACGAUAC
rnacentral:sRNA from 1 species